AAAGAACGACAAUGAGAUUGGUCAUUGCAACCAAAUUAGGGUUCGUGAGUCGAUUACGCAAGGGGAAGGUAUUAGCACCCCUCACAUCCAAUGUACUAAACGGGAACCAUUAGGUUAGCUGUGCGCGCUAGUGUUAGCUUGAAAGGCUUCUCGAGUUAUUAAGAGGGAAAAACGAAAUAGGAAAGAAAAGAUGUUUUUGGAUUUUUUUAUUAAUGUGCGAAGGAAGGAACUAAACCUAAGUUUUUUCAUUAAUGGGCCUGAUAAGAUUUAC
rnacentral:lncRNA from 1 species